rnacentral:rRNA from 1 species
AUUGAACGCUGGCGGCAUGCCUUACACAUGCAAGUCGAACGGCAGCAUAGGAGCUUGCUCCUGAUGGCGAGUGGCGAACGGGUGAGUAAUAUAUCGGAACGUGCCCUAGAGUGGGGGAUAACUAGUCGAAAGAUUAGCUAAUACCGCAUACGAUCUACGGAUGAAAGUGGGGGAUCGCAAGACCUCAUGCUCCUGGAGCGGCCGAUAUCUGAUUAGCUAGUUGGUGGGGUAAAAGCCUACCGAGGCGACGAUCAGUAGCUGGUGUGAGAGGACGACCAGCAAAACUGGGACUGAGACACGGCCCAGACUCAUACGGGAGGCAGCAGUGGGGAAUUUUGGACAAUGGGGGCAACCCUGAUCCAGCAAUGCCGCGUGAGUGAAGAAGGCCUUCGGGUUGUAAAGCUCUUUUGUCAGGGAAGAAACGGUUCUGGAUAAUACCCAGAGCUAAUGACGGUACCUGAAGAAUAAGCACCGGCUAACUACGUGCCAGCCGCCGCGGUAA